rnacentral:rRNA from 1 species
AUUGAACGCUGGCGGCAGGCCUAACACAUGCAAGUCGAGCGGAUGAAGGGAGCUUGCUCCUGGAUUCAGCGGCGGACGGGUGAGUAAUGCCUAGGAAUCUGCCUGGUAGUGGGGGAUAACGUCCGGAAACGGGCGCUAAUACCGCAUACGUCCUGAGGGAGAAAGUGGGGGAUCUUCGGACCUCACGCUAUCAGAUGAGCCUAGGUCGGAUUAGCUAGUUGGUGGGGUAAAGGCCUACCAAGGCGACGAUCCGUAACUGGUCUGAGAGGAUGAUCAGUCACACUGGAACUGAGACACGGUCCAGACUCCUACGGGAGGCAGCAGUGGGGAAUAUUGGACAAUGGGCGGAAGCCUGAUCUAGCCAUGCCGCGUGUGUGAAGAAGGUCUUCGGAUUGUAAAGCACUUUAAGUUGGGAGGAAGGGCAGUAAGUUAAUACCUUGCUGUUUUGACGUUACCAACAGAAUAAGCACCGGCUAACUUCGUG